rnacentral:lncRNA from 1 species
CUCAACCUGCUUGUAGAACUGCAGCUCAAGCUCUACUGCUCUCAUACUAUCAUAUAUACACACAACUAAACAUAGUGUAUAUAUAUAUGAUCCAAGCUACUUAUGUGUCUAUAAUCGAUCUAGUGACUAGUGUACCAUGACCUGUGUUGUCUAUUCAGUAGCCAAAGCUCAUUUUAACUGCUGAACAAUGCCUGUAAUUGAAACAAUCAACAGAUCAACAUACUAGUGAGGGAGAUAAAUGCCUGCACAGGCAUUAUGUGCGGC